CCGCACGGGUGAGUAACACGUAUCCAACCUGCCGUCUACUCUUGGACAGCCUUCUGAAAGGAAGAUUAAUACAAGAUGGCAUCAUGAGUCCGCAUGUUCACAUGAUUAAAGGUAUUCCGGUAGACGAUGGGGAUGCGUUCCAUUAGAUAGUAGGCGGGGUAACGGCCCACCUAGUCUUCGAUGGACAGGGGUUCUGAGAGGAAGGUCCCCCACAUUGGAACUGAGACACGGUCCAA
rnacentral:rRNA from 1 species